ACGAACGCUGGCGGCGUGCUUAACCCAUGCCAGUCGAACGGAAAGGCCCUGCUUUUGUGGGGUGCUCGAGUGGCGAACGGGUGAGUAACACGUGAGUAACCUGCCCUUGACCUUGGGAUAACUUCAGGAAACUGGGGCUAAUACCGGAUAGGAGCUCCUGCUGCAUGGUGGGGGUUGGAAAGUUUCGGCGGUUGGGGAUGGACUCGCGGCUUAUCAGCUUGUUGGUGGGGUAGUGGCUUACCAAGGCUUUGACGGGUAGCCGGCCUGAGAGGGUGACCGGCCACAUUGGGACUGAGAUACGGCCCAGACUCCUACGGGAGGCAGCAGUGGGGAAUAUUGCACAAUGGGCGGAAGCCUGAUGCAGCAACGCCGCGUGCGGGAUGACGGCCUUCGGGUUGUAAACCGCUUUCGCCUGUGACGAAGCGUGAGUGACGGUAAUGGGUAAAGAAGCACCGGCUAACUACGUG
rnacentral:rRNA from 1 species